GCGGACGUGGCGGAAUUGGCAGACGCGUAUGGCUUAGGACCAUAUGGAGAAAUCCAUGGGGGUUCAAUUCCCUCCGUCCGCA
rnacentral:tRNA from 1 species